GCGGCGUGCUUAAACAUGCAAGUCGAACGAACCUUCGGGUUAGUGGCGGACGGGUGAGUAACGCGUGAGAAUCUGCCCUCAGGAGGGGGAUAACAGCUGGAAACGGCUGCUAAUACCCCAUAUGCCGCGAGGUGAAAUGAAUUUCGCCUGAGGAUGAGCUCGCGUCUGAUUAGCUAGUUGGUGUAGGUAAUGGCUCACCAAGGCAUCGAUCAGUAGCUGGUCUGAGAGGAUGAUCAGCCACACUGGGACUGAGACACGGCCCAGACUCCUACGGGAGGCAGCAGUGGGGAAUUUUCCGCAAUGGGCGAAAGCCUGACGGAGCAACGCCGCGUGAGGGAUGAAGGCCUCUGGGCUGUAAACCUCUUUUAUCAAGGAAGAAGAUCUGACGGUACUUGAUGAAUAAGCCACGGCUAAUUCCG
rnacentral:rRNA from 1 species